AGGCACAAACCACCACACCAGACUAAUUCAUUAGUAAUCUUUAAAUGCAAAGGAAAACCACACGGAGAUACCGCUUUGCGCUCAUUAGGAUAGGUAUAAUAAAAAAAGACAACAAGUGUUGGAGAGAAUAUAGAGAAAUUAGGACCCUCAUGCACUGAAAGUGGGAAUGUAAAAUGGUGCAGCCCUUUUGGAAAACAGUUUGGCAGUUCCUCAAAAAGUUAUGAUAACAGAGUUAUCAUAGGAUCCAGCAAUUCUACUCCUAGGUAUAUGACCAAGGAAUUGAAAACAAGUGUCAGACAAAAAUGUACACAGGCUGUUCACAGCAGCACUGUUUCCAAUAGCAAAAAGGUAGAAACUAUCCAAAUGUGCAUUAAUUGAUGGAUAAGCAAAAAUGUGGUGUAACCGUACAAUGGAAUAUUAUGCAUGCUACAACUUGUUGCCACAGGCUAGAGGGAGAGAGGAUUGGGGAGUGACUACUAAUGGGUACAGGGUUUCUUUUUGGGGUGAUUAAAAUAUGCUAGAAUUAAUAGUGAUAAUGGUUGCACAAUUCUGUAAAUAUACUAAAACUACUUAAUUGCAUGUUUUAAAGGAGUGAAUUUGUGGUAUGUGAUUUUUUUUCCCCCAGCUUUCUUGAGGUAUGAUUGACAAAAUUGUGUAAAUUUAUGGUGUGCAACAUGAUUUGAUACACAUAUACAUUGUGAAAUGACUGCCACAAUCGUGUUAAGCACAUUUGAGAUCUUUACCAGAUGCAAACGUUUUUAAUUACAUGCAAAUUAAGGGGUGUGUUAUUCAGAAUGCUCUAGAAAAGAACAACUGCUGAGUUGUUGCCAUGGAAAGGGGUGGUAACUUGCAGCUCGUUGCCAUGGCAUUUGUAAACUGUGGUGGCACUAGUGGGAGUGUCUUAUGCUAAUGAGCAGCAAAGGUAACUAGAGGUUGCCUUUGGCACCAUCUGCUGGUUUCUUUACUUCAUCCUGGGACCAGGAAGUAAGUCCUGCUGGUCUAUGUCACUCACUUCCGCAGGCAUAGACAUGGAAGUUGUCUGCACGCUAGUAGAAGCCCACAUCUAGGGGACGCUGGGGAGCCACUUCCACAGCGGCAUGAACUAGGGCUUGGUGGAGUUCAAUGGCUCAUGGGACAAUGGCUUCCUUGAUGGUAACAGCAGCUUCCUGCUCACCAGCUCUCUGGAGAACACAGUAAGGAGGGGCCCACUGGCCUCUGCUUCCCUGUCUGUGAAAAGGUGACAGGAAAGCCUGCAGCAUGGACACACAGAUCAAAUGGGAGUGUGUGUGUGGAAGGCGGCCUACCUGGGCCUGGCCCACGUGGGCCCUUGAAAUGUAGUAAUAACAGCUAAUCUCUGGAGACUCCUCCAUGGCUCCCCAUCACCCUCAGGAAACGUCAGAUCCCUCAGCACGGUCUGAAAGACCUGCACAAACUGGCCCCCAGCCCUUCUCCCUCAUCUCCCACCCUUCUCCCUUACACUAGCCUCUUUUCUGUUUCUCAGACAUGCCUUGCAUGCUCCCACCUCAGGGUGUUUGCACAUGUUUUUCCUCUGCCUGUAAGACACUUCUCCCAGCUCUUUACAUGACCCAUUCCCCCCGACCCCACUCCCCGCCACACUCUCUAAUCAGGUCUCCAAUCAAAUGCCCCCUCUGGAAGAGGACUCCCAGACCCCAUCCCCUUUGACUACCUUCAUUUUCCCUCAUAACAGUUUUCACCACCAACCUUGUUCAUUCAUCCAUUUGGCACAUGGUUUCUGAGCAUCUACUGUAUACCAGGCGCUAUGCUGUGCCAGGGGCUAUAGCAGGGAAAAGACAGACACAUCUUCCACCCUCACAGAGCUGACAUCCUGCAGGGGAAAGAGAUAUUACCCAUGAGUGAGUGAGGCCCAUAGCACAUGCAGGCAUCGGGCAGGAUGUGCUGCAGGGAAGGACAGAGCAAGUUGAGAUUUUAGGUGGUGAGGUCAGAGGAAGCCUCACUGAUAACACCUAUUUGAGCAGAGACCUAAAGGAGGUGAUGGAGCAAGCCAUGUGGGAACCUGGGGAAAGAACAUUUCAAGCGGAGGGAACAGCAGAGGGAAGGCUUAGGCAGGAACAGCUCACAAGCACGAGGAGAGAAGGGCCUUUGCUCACAGCUGAACGCACAGCACCUAGCAGUGCCUGACACAUAGUAGGUGCUCAAUAAAUGCUUACUGGGUAGUAGAGCACUUCUAUUCCCCAGGCACUGCGCUAAGUGCAUAUCAUUCCAUUGAUUUCUAGCAGUCGCCCAUCAGAGUUGGACUGGCUUAUAUGUUCGCCUCCAUUUCUGAACCGUGUGGCUUGGGCAGUUCCUUAACCUUUCUGAGCCUCAGUCCUCUCAUCUGUAAAAUGAGGCUAAUAUCAUAGAGCCACAUUAGAGAGCUGUUGCAAGGAGUAAAUGAGCUAAUAUAAUAACGGUGACUGUUUAAUAAUUGUUAGCAAUUAUUAUUAUGGUAGUUGUUAUUGUUAUUAGGCAAUGCAGGGAAGCAGAAGAAGUCACUAUUUCCACUUUCAAGGAAGGAGAUGGCAGAUGAAUUAGGAAGUCAGGAAUGACACACAGGAGAUUACCCUGUGGCACCAAAGAUUCCCAGAGAAAACAGAGACAAAUGAGAACACAGAAAUCAUUUGAGAGAGAGAGAGAGAGAGCAGCCCUUGGGCCAAGACUCAAAGAGUGGGUAGGAUUUUACAGAGGUAGGGGACGGGGAUAGUAGGCCCUCCAGGCUGGUGUCACUGCACAAACACCUAUGGAGGAGAAGUGGAGUACAUCAGUCUAACGCACUUCUUGUUCCCCAGCGGAGGGCAUACGUGAUGGCUGCCAUGGUCCUGGGCAUGCUGUACUGCAUCUCCUGCUUGGUGCUGGCUCUGGGUGUGAAGGAACAGUUAGGCCUAGGUGGGAGCUUCCAGUGCCUGGUGUCAUCAAGCUGGUAUGUCCAGGAAGUGGGAGGUGGCACCAAUGUGUAGCCACUCUGCCUGAGUCCACCAGCCUUGGAGUCAGAACACCCUGGGGUAAAUCCUGGCUCAGCUCUUCUCAGCUAUGUGAUCUCGGCCACUACCACUGACCCAUGUGGUUAUCCCAUCUAGCCUGCCACCACUGGACUGUAUGUACCGCGGUUCUCCUGUCCAGCUCGCCACCACUGGACUCUCUCUCCUGUAUGUAAGCCCCAAAUAAAACCUCAUGUCUCAUUUGCUGGCUCUAGGUCUCUUCUUUGGCCUCUUGAACCUGGUGCCAUCCCCAUUGGAGUCAGUGGGGGUUUCGCACAACAGGAAGGUAAUGAGGUUUAGAAAUCAUGGAUGGGUGCAGUGGCUCACACCUGUGAUCCCAGCACUUUGGGAGGCGGAGA